AGCGAACGCUGGCGGCAGGCUUAACACAUGCAAGUCGAACGGGCAUCGUCAGAUGUCAGUGGCAGACGGGUGAGUAACACGUGGGAACGUACCCUUCGGUUCGGAAUAACUCAGGGAAACUUGAGCUAAUACCGGAUACGCCCUUUUGGGGAAAGGUUUACUGCCGAAGGAUCGGCCCGCGUCUGAUUAGCUUGUUGGUGGGGUAACGGCCUACCAAGGCGACGAUCAGUAGCUGGUCUGAGAGGAUGAUCAGCCACACUGGGACUGAGACACGGCCCAGACUCCUACGGGAGGCAGCAGUGGGGAAUAUUGGACAAUGGGCGCAAGCCUGAUCCAGCCAUGCCGCGUGAGUGAUGAAGGCCUUAGGGUUGUAAAGCUCUUUUGUCCGGGACGAUAAUGACGGUACCGGAAGAAUAAGCCCCGGCUAACUUCGUGCCAGCCGCCGCAGUAA
rnacentral:rRNA from 1 species